rnacentral:rRNA from 1 species
UACGUAGGGUGCAAGCGUUGUCCGGAAUUAUUGGGCGUAAAGAGCUCGUAGGCGGUCUGUCACGUCGGCUGUGAAAUCCCGAGGCUCAACCUCGGGUCUGCGGUCGAUACGGGCAUCACUGGAGUUCGGCAGGGGAGACUGGAAUUCCUGGUGUAGCGGUGAAAUGCGCAGAUAUCAGGAGGAACACCGGUGGCGAAGGCGGGUCUCUGGGGCCGAUACUGACGCUGAGGAGCGAAAGCCGUGGGGAGCGAACAGG